rnacentral:lncRNA from 1 species
GUGCUAAGAUUACAGUUGUGAGCAACUAUACUCCACUAAAGCAGAUAGAAUUAUAAUGCUUGGAGCCCAAUAUGCUUAUAUUUUCCUAUUUUCUGAGUUUGGAUUUGGGUCUGGAAAGGUAUCUUUAUCAGUUAGGAUGUCUAGUAACUUGCUUGCUUUUUUUUCCUGUUACCUUUUCUCCCUUAAAUAUUUUUUUUUUUUUUUUUGAGACAGAGUCUCGCUCUGUCUCUUGUGGGUCUCAGGCUGGAUUGCAGUUGCGCAAUCAUGAUCUCGGCUGACUGCAACCUUUACCUUCUGGAUUCAAUCAAUUCUCCUGCCUCAGCUUCCUGAGUAGAUGGGACUACAGGCGGGCACCACCAUGCCCGGCUAAUUUUUGUAUUUUUAGAAGAGACGGGGUUUCACCGUGUUGGUCAGGCUGGUCUCAAACUGCUGAUCUCAUGAUCCACUUGCCUCGGCUUCCCAAAGUGCUGGGAUCACAGGCAUGAGCCACCACGCCCGGCUUUCCCUCUUAAAUUUUAGGACUAUAACUGUAUACUUUUAUUUUUUAAAUUACCAUAUAGUAAAAUUGGCUCUUUGGUUGUGUAGCUUUAUGUGUUUUGAUGUGUGUAUAGAUGGAUGUCAUAAUCAGGAGAGAGAACAUUCCCCUAAGCCCAGAGAUGUCCAUGGUGCUAUCCUCCACAGCAUGUUUCUCGGCAGUCACUCUGCCCCCAGCCCCAAACAUGGGGCACCUGCCUGUAGGUGCCACAGAAGGCAACAUCAUGGCCUGUUAAAUACAGUAAGACAUUCUUCUUCAAAGGGUUAACUUGUUGAACUUUCCUUGUCCUUUGUUCCCUGCUUUCAAGGCCAGACUCCCUUACUCUCUGUGUUCCUUUGCCCUGGGAAACAACCUUCCUCUUGGUCUUUAUCUAUAGAGUCCACAUUCCACAUCUGCUCCUCACUCUGUAAAUCAUCCCUCCGGUCGAAACACUCUCUGUCUCCACUAAAACUGUUUUCUCACUAUUGUAACCACAUCCCUGCACUUCUCAAAUUAGCCAAUUGGGUUCAGCUUAGAUUGUGCAGUCCAACUCUAGCCAACAGAUACUGGACAUGGCAGUAGGAGCCCAAUGAAUUAAAGAUAAAGUGACUGCUUUCCUUUGUUCAGAGUGCUUUCAUGGUGACCAAACUAAUGAGCAGCACCCUUCUGCAGAGGUAAACUUUGCCUUGCUGAGAAACCAAUUGUUGGCGUGUUUAUUUCAUUUAUGACUUUGAGCUUUAUUUCUAACAUGGCCCAAAGUAAUCCUCUUUUCUUGAACACAUGGUAGAAUGCCCUAGGUGAAUCCCUCCAGUCUUCCAGUACCAUCCUUGACUCCUCUCUCUGAUGACACAUGAACUUUAUGCUUUUGCACACUUCAGGCAACACCAAAAGAAAGGAAAAGAACAGCUUAGCUUCUUAAUGUGUGUAAGAAACCACAGUGAAAAAAAAUCAGGUGUGUUGUUGAGGCUGCUAAAAGCUUUCCUUUUUUUUCUGUGCCAGUUCUCGCUGCCUCAUUGGUUGAGAUGGGAUGUCUUUUUUGAUGUCCUCUUUAGAGAGUGUUAUCCUCACCUUUUUGCAUAGUCCUACCAAAAGACACCUCACAUGCAAAGUGUAACAGAAAAUUACAGUCAUGACUUUAGUUUUAAAAACAGGACGUAUAUUCAUGAAGAAUGUUUGCUGUUUUCCCAGUGGGUUAAUCAUAUGAAUAUAAAACAGACUAAAAAUAUCAAGUUGUUUUUGCAUUUAUUUAUUGUAGAAAUAAAAUGGAUUGCUACCUCUGAGCUUCUGAGAAGCUGUUAACCUGUGUUUUACUUUGGGUCAUAAUGUCGCUUUCUGUGAUCUCAUAUGAAGUGACGUUUUCUAGAAUAAUCCUUAUUCUGGUAUUUCGGGGUCUUUUAUUCUGCCUGAAGUGGUUGUGUGAAGUCACAGAAUAUGUGCAUGUCCUCCUAUGUAGAGUUAAAGGGCUGAAAGAGUGGCCUCAAGCCUUCCCCUCCCUCCCAGGUGUGAAAAUUUGGAUUUCAAGGUCUGGGAGGCCAUGUUUUUUUCAGACCGGUUAAGGAUGAUCAUUUUAUGUUAAAUAAACAUUGGGAUAAACUU